ensembl:misc_RNA 7SK 7SK RNA
GGAUGUGAGGGUUAUCUGGCUGCGAUAUCUGUCACCCCAUUGAUUGCCAGGGUUGAUUCAGCUGAUCUGGCUGGCUAGUCGGGUGACCCCUUCUUCCCUCACCGCUCCAUGUGUGUCCCUCCUGAAGCUGCGCACUUGGUCGAAGAGGACGGCCUUCCCCGAAUAGAGAUGAACCGGUCUUCGGUCAACGGUAUUCAAGUAGCUGCACUCCCCUGCAAGAACCUCCAAACAAGCUCUCAAAAUCUUGAGAGAGGAAGGAGCCAAGACCCCAUGGCAGUUAUUGGCAUCACUAUGAGCCCCGAUGAUGGGUACCACACCUAG